UACAGAGGUCCCGAGCGUUGUUCGGAUUCACUGGGCGUAAAGGGUGCGCAGGUGGGUUGGCAAGUUUGAUGUGAAAGCCCCGGGCUUAACCCGGGAAUGGCAUUGAAUACUGCUGAUCUGGAGGAUCGGAGGGGGGACUGGAAUUCUUGGUGUAGCAGUGAAAUGCGCAGAUAUCAGGAGGAACACCGGUGGCGAAGGCGGUGUCCUGGGCCGAUCCUGACGCUGAGGAGCGAAAGCUGGGGGAGCAAACAGG
rnacentral:rRNA from 1 species